rnacentral:tRNA from 1 species
ACCUGGGUGGCUCAGUGGUUGAGCAUCUGAUUUGGGCUCAGGUCGUGAUCCUGGAGUCCUGGGAUCGAGUCCCACAUCGGGCU